GCGCCUGUAGCUCAGUGGAUAGAGCACUGGUCUUCGGAACCAGGUGUCGGGGGUUCGAAUCCCUCCAGGCGCCCCA
rnacentral:tRNA from 1 species